UUAUUGCUAUCCGGAUUCGACUAAGCCAUGCAAGUCUUGAUGUUCAUCUUUGGACCUUAGGGCAGAAAGCUCAGUAACAUGUAGUUAAUAUGCCCUCAAGUCAGGGAUAAUCUCGGGAACCUGAGGCUAAUACCUGAUAGAUAAGAAGUACUGGAAUGUUUUCUUUUCUAAAGCUUUGCGCUUGAGGAUUGGACUGCACCGGAUUAGGUUGUUGUUAGGGUAACGUCCUGGCAAGCCGAUAAUCCGUACGAGCCUUGAGAGAGGAAGCUCGGAGUUGGAUUCUGAGACAAGAAUCCAGACCCUACGGGGUGCAGCAGGCGCGAAACUUUCCCAAUGCACGCAAGUGUGAGGAAGGGAUCUGGAGUGCAUUCUCUUAUAUAGGGGAUGCUUUUGUGGAGGUGUAAACAGCUCCAAGAAUAAGUGGUGGGUAAGACGGGUGCCAGCCCGCCGCGGUAAUACCCGCGCCACGAGUGAUAACCACGAUUAUUGGGCUUAAAGCGUUCGUAGCCGGCCCAAAAAGUCUUUAGUGAAAUCCCGUAGCUAACUACGGGGCUUGCUAGGGAAACUAUUGGACUUGGAACCGGGAGAGGUCUGGGGUACUCAAGGGGUAGGGGUAAAAUCCCUGUAAUCCUUUGGGGACCACCUGUGGCGAAGGCGCCAGACCAGAACGGAUUCGACGGUGAGGGACGAAAGCCAGGGGAGCAAAGGGGAUUAGAUACCCCCCGUAGUCCUGGCUGUAAACGAUGCCCACUAGACAUUGGGCAAUCUUACGUGGGGUUGUCAGUGCC
rnacentral:rRNA from 1 species